GGUGGAUGCCUUGGCGUCUACUACCGAUGAAGGACGUAUCCGGCUGCGAUAAGCCACGGUCAGCUGCCUAGAGAGCGUUACGAACCGUGGAUUUCCGAAUGGGGAAACCCCGGCGCCUUAGCGGGCGUCACUCCGGUGUGAACACAUAGCACCGGUAGAGGGAACCGGGGGAAUUGAAACAUCUCAGUACCCCGAGGAAAAGAAAACAAAACGUGACUCCCUGAGUAGCGGCGAGCGAAAAGGGACCAGCCCAAACCCCAAAUGGUGUUAAAGCCUGGUGGCGUUGCCAUUUGGGGGUUGUGGGACUCGAGAGCAGGCGCACCAGAACCUGCACGGAGUUACCAAGUUGAUGCGUAGUGGAAGCGCUUGGAAAAGCGCGCCGCAGUGGGUAAUAGCCCCCGUACACGAAACGUACUCAACCUCCGCUCGAUCAUCCCAAGUAACGCCGGGACCGUGAAAACUGGCGUGAAUCUGCGAGGACCACCUCGUAAGGCUAAGUAUACGUAGACGACCGAUAGUGAACCAGUACCGUGGAGGGAAAGGUGAAAAGUACCCGGGAGGGAGUGAAAUAGUACC
rnacentral:rRNA from 1 species